rnacentral:lncRNA from 1 species
UUUGCACUUUCCUUUUCAUUUUCUUGUGCUGGAAUUUCAUUUUUAGUUUGUCAUUGAAAAAAAAUAGCCAUCACACUACACUUUGCAUUCUUGCUUGGAGCGUUUUCUUUAGGGAACUCUUGAAUGUAUGAAGGUGAUUCUCGGUCAUUCUUAUGAUGGAAGGAUGAGCACACUUUACUUUCUUUUCUUUACACCAAUGCUGUUUGACUUUGUUGAAUGAAAGAAACACAUCUUUUC